rnacentral:rRNA from 1 species
AUUGAACGCUGGCGGCAGGCCUAACACAUGCAAGUCGAGCGGAUGAAGGGAGCUUGCUCCUGGAUUCAGCGGCGGACGGGUGAGUAAUGCCUAGGAAUCUGCCUGGUAGUGGGGGAUAACGUCCGGAAACGGGCGCUAAUACCGCAUACGUCCUGAGGGAGAAAGUGGGGGAUCUUCGGACCUCACGCUAUCAGAUGAGCCUAGGUCGGAUUAGCUAGUUGGUGGGGUAAAGGCCUACCAAGGCGACGAUCCGUAACUGGUCUGAGAGGAUGAUCAGUCACACUGGAACUGAGACACGGUCCAGAAUCCUACGGGAGGCAGCAGUGGGGAAUAUUGGACAAUGGGCGAAAGCCUGAUCCAGCCAUGCCGCGUGUGUGAAGAAGGUCUUCGGAUUGUAAAGCACUUUAAGUUGGGAGGAAGGGCAGUAAGUUAAGACCUGGCUGUUUUGACGUUACCAACAGAAUAAGCACCGGCUAACUUCGU